rnacentral:tRNA from 1 species
GCGGGCGUGGCGGAAUGGCAGACGCGCCAGAUUUAGGAUCUGGUGCCGCGAGGCGUGUGAGUUCGAGUCUCGUCGCCCGCACCA